rnacentral:rRNA from 1 species
AUUGAACGCUGGCGGCAGGCCUAACACAUGCAAGUCGAGCGGAUGAAGGGAGCUUGCUCCUGGAUUCAGCGGCGGACGGGUGAGUAAUGCCUAGGAAUCUGCCUGGUAGUGGGGGAUAACGUCCGGAAACGGGCGCUAAUACCGCAUACGUCCUGAGGGAGAAAGUGGGGGAUCUUCGGACCUCACGCUAUCAGAUGAGCCUAGGUCGGAUUAGCUAGUUGGUGGGGUAAAGGCCUACCAAGGCGACGAUCCGUAACUGGUCUGAGAGGAUGAUCAGUCACACUGGAAAUGAGACAAGGUCCAGACUCCUAAGGGAGGCAGCAGUGGGGAAUAUUGGAAAAUGGGCGAAAGCCUGAACCAGCCAAGCCGCGUGUGUGAAGAAGGUCUUCGGAUUGGAAAACACUUUAAGUUGGGGGGAAGGGCAGUAAGUUAAUACCUUGCUGUUUUGACGUUACCAACAGAAUAAGCACCGGCUAACUUCGUG